CGCGUGGUAUUAUUCUUGUGAAUGUGUUUUAGCUACAAUCACAGGAUAAUACUGCGAG
ncrna:Bombyx mori (domestic silkworm) microRNA bmo-mir-308 precursor